rnacentral:rRNA from 1 species
GAAUUCGCCCUUAGAGUUUGAUCCUGGCUCAGGACGAACGCUGGCGGCGCGCCUAACACAUGCAAGUCGAACGGAGUUUGAGAGAGCUUGCUUUUUCAAACUUAGUGGCGAACGGGUGAGUAACGCGUGAGUAACCUGCCCUGGAGUGGGGGACAACAGUUGGAAACGACUGCUAAUACCGCAUAAGCCCACAGUGCCGCAUGGCACAGCGGGAAAAGGAUUUAUUCGCUUCAGGAUGGACUCGCGUCCAAUUAGCUAGUUGGUGAGGUAACGGCCCACCAAGGCGACGAUUGGUAGCCGGACUGAGAGGUUGAACGGCCACAUUGGGACUGAGACACGGCCCAGACUCCUACGGGAGGCAGCAGUGGGGGAUAUUGCACAAUGGGGGAAACCCUGAUGCAGCGACGCCGCGUGGAGGAAGAAGGUUUUCGGAUUGUAAACUCCUGUCGUUAGGGACGAUAAUGACGGUACCUAACAAGAAAGCACCGGCUAACUACGUGCCAGUAGCCGCGGUAAAACGUAGGGUGCAAGCGUUGUCCGGAAUUACUGGGUGUAAAGGGAGCGCAGGCGGACCGGCAAGUUGGAAGUGAAAUCUAUGGGCUCAACCCAUAAAUUGCUUUCAAAACUGCUGGCCUUGAGUAGUGCAGAGGUAGGUGGAAUUCCCGGUGUAGCGGUGGAAUGCGUAGAUAUCGGGAGGAACACCAGUGGCGAAGGCGACCUACUGGGCACCAACUGACGCUGAGGCUCGAAAGCAUGGGUAGCAAACAGGAUUAGAUACCCUGGUAGUCCAUGCCGUAAACGAUGAUUACUAGGUGUUGGGGGAUUGACCCCCUCAGUGCCGCAGUUAACACAAUAAGUAAUCCACCUGGGGAGUACGACCGCAAGGUUGAAACUCAAAGGAAUUGACGGGGGCCCGCACAAGCAGUGGAGUAUGUGGUUUAAUUCGACGCAACGCGAAGAACCUUACCAGGUCUUGACAUCCGACUAACGAGAUAGAGAUAUGUCAGGUGCCCUUCGGGGAAAGUCGAGACAGGUGGUGCAUGGUUGUCGUCAGCUCGUGUCGUGAGAUGUUGGGUUAAGUCCCGCAACGAGCGCAACCCCUAUCCUCAGUAGCCAGCAUUUAAGGUGGGCACUCUGGGGAGACUGCCAGGGAUAACCUGGAGGAAGGCGGGGAUGACGUCAAAUCAUCAUGCCCCUUAUGAUUUGGGCUACACACGUGCUACAAUGGCGUAAACAAAGGGAAGCGAGAUUGUGAGAUGGAGCAAAUCCCAAAAAUAACGUCCCAGUUCGGACUGUAGUCUGCAACCCGACUACACGAAGCUGGAAUCGCUAGUAAUCGCGGAUCAGAAUGCCGCGGUGAAUACGUUCCCGGGUCUUGUACUCACCGCCCGUCA